rnacentral:rRNA from 1 species
UACGGGGGGGGCAAGCGUUGUUCGGAAUUACUGGGCGUAAAGCGCACGUAGGCGGUUUCUUAAGUCGGGGGUGAAAUCCUGGAGCUCAACUCCAGAACUGCCUUCGAUACUGGGAAACUUGAGUCCGGGAGAGGUGAGUGGAACUGCGAGUGUAGAGGUGAAAUUCGUAGAUAUUCGCAAGAACACCAGUGGCGAAGGCGGCUCACUGGCCCGGUACUGACGCUGAGGUGGCGAAAGCGUGGGGAGCAAACAGGG